rnacentral:rRNA from 1 species
AUUGAACGCUGGCGGCAGGCCUAACACAUGCAAGUCGAACGGUAACAGGAAGCAGCUUGCUGCUUCGCUGACGAGUGGCGGACGGGUGAGUAAUGUCUGGGAAGCUGCCUGAUGGAGGGGGAUAACUACUGGAAACGGUAGCUAAUACCGCAUAAUGUCGCAAGACCAAGGAGGGGGACCUUCGGGCCUCUUGCCAUCGGAUGUGCCCAGAUGGGAUUUGCUUGUUGGUGGGGUAACGGCUCACCAAGGCGACGAUCCCUAGCUGGUCUGAGAGGAUGACCAGCCACACUGGGACUGAGACACGGUCCAGACUCCUACGGGAGGCAGCAGUGGGGAAUAUUGCACAAUGGGCGCAAGCCUGAUGCAGCCAUGCCGCGUGUAUGAAGAAGGCCUUCGGGUUGUAAAGUACUUUCAGCGGGGAGGAAGGGAGUAAAGUUAAUACCUUGGCUCAUUGACGUUACCCGCAGAAGAAGCACCGGCUAACUCCGUG